AGGGGUGCAGCAGGCGCGAAAACUUUACAAUGCGGGAAACCGUGAUAAGGGAACUCCGAGUGCCCGUAAAAUCGGGCUGUCCAUCUGUUUAAAUAACAGGUGAAGAAAGGGCCGGGCAAGACCGGUGCCAGCCGCCGCGGUAAUACCGGCGGCUCGAGUGGUGGCCACUAUUACUGGGCUAAAGCGUUCGUAGCUGGUUUGUUAAGUCUCUGGGGAAAUCUGCCGGCUCAACCGGCAGGCGUUCCAGGGAUACUGGCAGACUAGGGACCGGGAGAGGUGAGGGGUACUCCAGGGGUAGGAGUGAAAUCCUGUAAUCCUUGGGAGACCACCUGUGGCGAAGGCGCCUCACCAGAACGGCUCCGACAGUGAGGGACGAAAGCUGGGGGAGCAAACCGGAUUAGAUACCCGGGUAGUCCCAGCCGUAAACGAUGCGCGUUAGGUGUAUCGGUGACCACGAGUCACCGAGGUGCCGAAGAGAAAUCGUGAAACGUGCCGCCUGGGAAGUACGGUCGCAAGGCUGAAACUUAAAGGAAUUGGCGGGGGAGCACA
rnacentral:rRNA from 1 species